GCCUGGGUGGCUCAGUUGGUUAAGCAUGUGACUCUUGAUUUCCAUUCAGGUCAUGAUCUCACAGUUUGUGGGUUCAAGUCCUGCGUCAGGCU
rnacentral:tRNA from 1 species